CCUACGGGAGGCAGCAGUGGGGAAUUUUGGACAAUGGGCGCAAGCCUGAUCCAGCAAUGCCGCGUGAGUGAAGAAGGCCUUCGGGUUGUAAAGCUCUUUUGUCAGGGAAGAAACGGUCUACUCUAAUACAGUGGGCUAAUGACGGUACCUGAAGAAUAAGCACCGGCUAACUACGUGCCAGCAGCCGCGGUAAUACGUAGGGUGCAAGCGUUAAUCGGAAUUACUGGGCGUAAAGCGUGCGCAGGCGGUUUAUAUAAGUCAGAUGUGAAAUCCCCGGGCUCAACCUGGGAACUGCAUUUGAGACUGUAUGGCUAGAGUGUGUNAGAGGGUAGG
rnacentral:rRNA from 1 species